CGUAUCGGACAAUAAACUCAUGUACACUUUCUCAAUUUCUGACAGAUUGCACAACAGCGGUGCUUUGAUUUUAUUUUUUUUUACUGUUUUCACUGAUUAGCAUGUCCAUUCAGCCACUUUCUCAAUUUCUACCUUCUGUUUUCAAGAUUCCUUUGCUUAUAUGGGGUUACCCAUGGUGGCGGUGGCGAAGCUCAACCUCCUAUUAUCUACCUCCCACACCGGAGCCUCCUUGGUUACUUUCCUGCUAUUCCCUUACGUGCUUAAACUCACGUUCACUGUCAGGCUUUUUCGUCGAGCUUACACCGGUCUGCUCCACUCAUCCAGGCUCUUCUUAUUUCAGUUGAGCCAAAUCGCCUUCGAUACUGAUCAACCUGCUCCGGUAGGCAAUGAUAGCACCAGACUGAGGAGAGCUCUGAGGUUAAUUUAUCAGAGAGUAACAAGAACAAGAAGGUCACAAACCACACAAGAUGAUGAGGAUAAUUUCAAUGCCCUCUCCAUGUUUUCUCUUUAGUCAAGUAAUGGUGAUGGAAAAAGAAUGUCAUGCCAUGAUGAUGAACAACGCCUAGCUCGUGCUUACCCUUUAAAAUUAUGUUAUCAUUCUUGUUCGAAAAGCCACUAAAUUGCAUUUGUUUUGGGAGUCCGAAAGUAGAAAUAGAUAAAUAAUUGUUUUGUCAUGCCAUUAUUAAUGCUGGAAAAGAAUCUAGUAGAAUCCAUCUGGGCCUUGGUAGGAUAAGGCCCAGUCUCAUGAAAUUGGAGAUAGAAUCAGCCUGUCUUAGUUUGUUGGUGCACAGAUGGCCCACUCUACUUUGUUAUGGACUCUCAAGCCCAACUGUGAUACAAAAGAUAGAAGAUUAUCCGAUUUUAUAUAUAUAUUUUUUUUAAGAUUCGGGUUUCUCUAAAUGAUCUCACUGCCAACCUUUUAGUUCAUAAACUAAAAUCGUGGAUAAAGUACUGUAGUCAAAUAUUUUGUUAUUCUCAAAACAAAUCAAAUAACUAGUUAUGGGAGAUAAUAUGAUAUUUUUACAGGGGUUCAUUGGUCAUUACUGUAUCUAUUGAGGCUAGUUCAGUUUUUUUGCAUUUUGUAUGCACACUCUAAUCACUACAUUACCCAUGAAAUUAGAUUUUUCAAAACCACUGGCAGGAGUAUUUUUGUAUUUUUAAUUAUUUAUUCAUGGUAAAAUAAUUUAAUUAUCCCUAAAUUUAAAUUCUCAUUUCCUUGUGGUUAGGGGCGUUUUGAUAUUUUUAUUAUGGUAUUUUCAAUACAAUUAAGUUGAUGGAGGGAUAACUUAUUAAUUUUAGAAAAAUAAUAUUAUUUUUCUUUAAAAAACUUCUCACGAGUACACUACUCACAUCAACACGUGGGUUACUCUCGCGCCAUUCAAGAGGCAUGUGGUAAGGCUUAUGGCAGCCAAAUAGUGGCUUUUAGGGUGACGUUUGAAUCGUCUUGACAGCUCCUUCCAUCCCUGGACAACAUGUAUGGUGAAAGGAAUUUUGGUUUGGUGUCGAUGAGCUUUUUUUUAUUCUUUUUUCUUUCUUUAAUUUCCGCACCUAACCUUGCAAAAUUUUAAAGUAACACUUCAAUUUGUUUUUCAUUCAAAUAUGAUUAAUGUUCUUUUAAUUGAUAUUUUUUUAUUUGACGUAGUUUAUAAAAUUGAUUUUUUUUUAAUUUUAUCCUCCUUAAAUUUUUUGUAUGUCAAAUUAGGUUCAUAUUAUUUUUAUUGUUAUUUUUUAAUUAACUUUUAUGAUUGGAUUUUUUUAUUAUUAUUUCAUCCUUCAAUUUUUUCCAAUCAUAUUUUAUCCUUUUUUUUUUAACUUUUGACAAACUUUUUAAAUUGAUUUUUUUUGUUUCAUCCUCCAACAUUAAAUUGAUUGAGAAUUUAUCUUCUUGAUUGAGUCUAAGUUUAGGAUUUCACGAGGUGUGGGUUUAAGAGAUUAACAUGGGUUUAAAGAUUCGUUCGGAUUUGCUUGGUUUAUUUUCUCUUUUUUAAACUCAUGUUUUUCAUUUUCAUCUUUCAACAUUUAUUUAAUUAGAGAUCUGGCUUCGUUAUUUUUAUUUUAUUUUAUUUUCUAUAUAAUUUUUAAUGAUUUUGAAAAUGACUUGAGUUAUCUCGGGUCUUUUUAUUUGCUGUUCUUUUUAAAAUUUUCCUAUCUUUAAAAAAAAAGAUAUUUUGUUUUUAAUAUAUUAAAUUAAUUGAUUAAAUGCAAGCAUGAAGUGCUCAUUUCAUGAUAUUUAAAAAAAUAAAAUUAAAAAAUAUUAUUGGGUAGACAUUUUUUUAUUGGCAUGGAUAAUCAUUUGACUAAAUAAAAUAUUUAUUCAAAGAAACAUAGUUAGCAAACACAACUUGCGAGAUCAAAUAUCUUGAUUUGUAUUUACCUCUCAAUUUUUCCAUUUUAAUCUUUACUUAUAAUUGAUGCUUGAUUGUUAAUUUUUUAUGGUAAAAAACACAUUGAAAAAGCCUAUAUAUUUAUUUUAUUUACUAAAAAUAAAAUUAUAUAACAUGUUAUAAAAUACAGGUCAAAUAGCUAAAGAUUGCUAUAGCUUGAACCAUCAUCAAUGCACAGGCCUGUUUGUUUCUGCGAUUUAAAAGUACUUUUGAAAAAAUUUAAUUUUUUUUAUUUUUUUAUUAACUUUAAAUUAAUAUGUUUUUAGUUUUUUCAAAUUAUUUUGAUGUGUUGAUGUCAAAAAUAAUUUUAAAAAAAUAAAAAAAAUUAUUAACAUGUAUUUUGAUAUAAAAUAUUAUUUGAAAAACAACCGCAAUUACACUGUGAAUGUGAAUUUAUUGGUAUGUCGAGGCCAAUAAUGAUUUAUAUGCAAGGGAGAAAGAGAAGAUAUCACGCGAGGGAUUGUAUUGGGAGCUUCUCGUUUCCGGGAUAAUGUUGUAUGUAUUUGCAUUUUUAUUUUUUUGUUUAAGGAAUCCGUCUCUUCUGCCCCGAGAUACCAAUCAAAUACCAUUUCAAGUCUUUAUCUUUC